AGAGUUUGAUCCUGGCUCAGGAUGAACGCUAGCGACAGGCUUAACACAUGCAAGUCGAGGGGCAGCGGGGGCGCAGCAAUGCGCCUGCCGGCGACCGGCGCACGGGUGAGUAACACGUAUGCAACCUGCCCGCCACAGGGGUAUAACCGCGGGAAACCGCGACUAAUCCCGCAUGACGCCGGGGGAGGGCAUCCUUCCCCGGCCAAAGGAGCGAUCCGGUGGCGGAUGGGCAUGCGGCGCAUUAGCUAGUCGGCGGGGUAACGGCCCACCGAGGCGACGAUGCGUAGGGGUUCUGAGAGGAAGGCCCCCCACACUGGUACUGAGACACGGACCAGACUCCUACGGGAGGCAGCAGUGAGGAAUAUUGGUCAAUGGGCGGAAGCCUGAACCAGCCAAGUCGCGUGAGGGAAGAAGGCCCUGCGGGUCGCAGACCUCUUUGGACGGGGAGCAAGGCCGCGGACGUGUCCGCGGAAGGAGAGUACCCGUAGAACAAGCAUCGGCUAACUCCGUGCCAGCAGCCGCGGUAAUACGGAGGAUGCGAGCGUUAUCCGGAUUUAUUGGGUUUAAAGGGUGCGCAGGCGGCCCGACAAGCCGGCGGUCAAAUCGCGGGGCUCAACCCCGUCCAGCCGUCGGAACUGCCGGGCUAGAGUGGGCGAGAAGUGCGCGGAAUGCGUGGUGUAGCGGUGAAAUGCAUAGAUAUCACGCAGAACUCCGAUUGCGAAGGCAGCGCACCGGCGCCCUACUGACGCUCAGGCACGAAAGCGUGGGUAUCGAACAGGAUUAGAUACCCUGGUAGUCCACGCAGUAAACGAUGGAUGCUAGGUGUCCGGGGAGAAUGUUUCCUGGGUGCCACAGCGAAAGCGUUAAGCAUCCCACCUGGGGAGUACGCCGGCAACGGUGAAACUCAAAGGAAUUGACGGGGGCCCGCACAAGCGGAGGAACAUGUGGUUUAAUUCGAUGAUACGCGAGGAACCUUACCCGGGCUCAAACGGCGCAGGAACGACCUUUGAAAGGAGGCGGCCCCACGGGGCCUGCGCCGAGGUGCUGCAUGGUUGUCGUCAGCUCGUG
rnacentral:rRNA from 1 species